rnacentral:rRNA from 1 species
AUUGAACGCUGGCGGCAGGCUUAACACAUGCAAGUCGAGCGGGGUGAUGGUGCUUGCACUAUCACUUAGCGGCGGACGGGUGAGUAAUGCUUAGGAAUCUGCCUAUUAGUGGGGGACAACAUCUCGAAAGGGAUGCUAAUACCGCAUACGUCCUACGGGAGAAAGCAGGGGAUCACUUGUGACCUUGCGCUAAUAGAUGAGCCUAAGUCGGGUUAGCUAGUUGGUGGGGUAAAGGCCUACCAAGGCGACGAUCUGUAGCGGGUCUGAGAGGAUGAUACGCCACACUGGGACUGAAACACGGCCCAGACUCCUACGGGAGGCAGCAGUGGGGAAUAUUGGACAAUGGGGGGAACCCUGAUCCAGCCAUGCCGCGUGUGUGAAGAAGGCCUUAUGGUUGUAAAGCACUUUAAGCGAGGAGGAGGCUCUUUUGGUUAAUACCCAAGAUGAGUGGACGUUACUCGCAGAAUAAGCACCGGCUAACUCUGUGCCAGCCGCCGCAGUAA